rnacentral:rRNA from 1 species
GCAAGCGUUGUUCGGAAUUACUGGGCGUAAAGGGCUCGUAGGCGGCCAACUAAGUCGGAUGUGAAAUCCCCAGGCUCAACUUGGGAACUGCAUCCGAUACUGGAUGGCUUGAAUUCGGGAGAGGGAUGCAGAAUUCCAGGUGUAGCGGUGAAAUGCGUAGAUAUCUGGAGGAAUACCGGUGGCGAAGGCGGCAUCCUGGACCGACAUUGACGCUGAGGAGCGAAAGCUAGGGGAGCAAACGGG